UACGGGGGGGGCAAGCGUUUGUUCGGAAUUACUGGGCGUAAAGGGCUCGUAGGCGGCCAACUAAGUCAGACGUGAAAUCCCUCGGCUUAACCUGGGAACUGCAUCCGAUACUGGAUGGCUUGAAUCCGGGAGAGGGAUGCAGAAUUCCAGGUGUAGCGGUGAAAUGCGUAGAUAUCUGGAGGAAUACCGGUGGCGAAGGCGGCAUCCUGGACCGAGAUUGACGCUGAGGCGCGAAAGCCAGGGGGAGCAAACGGG
rnacentral:rRNA from 1 species